GAUGAACGCUGGCGGCGUGCCUAAUACAUGCAAGUAGAACGCUGAAGGAGGAGCUUGCUCUUCUGGAUGAGUUGCGAACGGGUGAGUAACGCGUAGGUAACCUGCCUGUUAGCGGGGGAUAACUAUUGGAAACGAUAGCUAAUACCGCAUGACAACAGUUAUUGCAUGAUAACUGUUUAAAAGGGGCAACUGCUCCACUACCAGAUGGACCUGCGUUGUAUUAGCUAGUUGGUGAGGUAACGGCUCACCAAGGCGACGAUACAUAGCCGACCUGAGAGGGUGAUCGGCCACACUGGAACUGAGACACGGCCCAGACUCCUACGGGAGGCAGCAGUAGGGAAUCUUCGGCAAUGGACGGAAGUCUGACCGAGCAACGCCGCGUGAGUGAAGAAGGUUUUCGGAUCGUAAAGCUCUGUUGUAAGAGAAGAACGAGUGUGAGAGUGGAAAGUUCACACUGGAACGGUAUCUUACAAGAAAGGGACGGCUAACUACGG
rnacentral:rRNA from 1 species